CGAAAGUUACGCUAAUACCGCAUAUUCUGUGAGCAGGAAAGCAGGGGAUCGCAAGACCUUGCGCUGAUUGAGCGGCCGAUAUCAGAUUAGCUAGUUGGUGAGGUAAAGGCUCACCAAGGCGACGAUCUGUAGCGGGUCUGAGAGGAUGAUCCGCCACACUGGAACUGAGACACGGUCCAGACUCCUACGGGAGGCAGCAGUGGGGAAUUUUGGACAAUGGGCGCAAGCCUGAUCCAGCCAUGCCGCGUGAGUGAAGAAGGCCUUCGGGUUGUAAAGCUCUUUCGGCCGGGAAGAAAUCGCACAGGUUAAUACCCUGUGUGGAUGACGGUACCGGAAUAAGAAGCACCGGCUAACUACGUG
rnacentral:rRNA from 1 species